GGUUAUAUAGCUCAAUCGGAAGAGCGCUGGAGUGAAGUCCCAGAGAUUGCAGUUCAAUUCUGUGUGUGACCA
rfam:Leuconostoc lactis strain WIKIM21 contig00017, whole genome shotgun sequence.